rnacentral:rRNA from 5 species
AAAUUGAAGAGUUUGAUCAUGGCUCAGAUUGAACGCUGGCGGCAGGCCUAACACAUGCAAGUCGAACGGUAGCACAGAGAGCUUGCUCUCGGGUGACGAGUGGCGGACGGGUGAGUAAUGUCUGGGAAACUGCCUGAUGGAGGGGGAUAACUAC